rnacentral:lncRNA from 1 species
GUUGAAGGGAGAAAACUAGCAUGCUAGAGUGCACAUGGAAAAGUCAUGGCUGGUUGUGGUGGUGCAGGUUCACAGGAUAAGGCUGAAAAUGUACAGACUUCUGCAGGUACAGCGGAGGCUAUCCUCAUGUGGUGUUCAUCUUCAUUGCCAGCUUGACUAGAUGUAGAAUCACCUAUGGGACACACUUCUGAACAUGACUUUGAGGGUGUUCUCAAGGAAGUCAAACUGAGGAGGGGAGACCCACACUGAAUGGGACCACUGCAUGGACUGGGUUCCAAACAGAACAAAAAAGGGGACAAGGAGAAGCCAACAGACCACUGCUGUUCCCUUUUAUGUUUCCUGGUCUGUUUAGACAUGCACAAGCUCCUGUGGUUACAGGUAGAAGCUGAGCCCACCACCAUACCUUUCCCUCUAUGACUGACUCUAUGUCCUGCUCUGUGACUCAAAUAAACCUUCCCUGUAUCAAGCUGUUUAAUAAAAGCCCUGACUACC